AAACCGUUCAGGGGUAAACCUGAGAAACCCAAAAGAUCGAACGGGGAGAUUCAUCGUCAGCGACUUUGGCUUUCCGGUGGCUCGCGAUGUCGCGGGACUUCGGUACCGCGCGCACGCGUCCACCGUUUCGCAUGUCCGUCGUCGUCGGCGUGCACUUCUCCCCUAGUAGGACGUCGCGACCCGUCGGGUGUCGGCCUACGGUCCGGCGCGGCAGACCCCGCCGUCGCCUCGGCGAACGGCGGGAACCCCCGGUAACCCGUCCGACUGCUCGGCGGUACUCGCACGGUAUCGAGCCGCACGACGCGUGCGUCGGGCCCGUCGCAAGCUAGGCCAGUGUCCCACGGAGGUUCGGACUCGGCGCCGUCCCCGUGCCUGGUCGGCUGUUGGCAGACGGUGUCCUCGGACUGGCUCUCACGAACGCGCAAUACCGGUCGGCGACGCUACUGCUUUGGGUACUCUCGGGA
rnacentral:rRNA from 1 species